rnacentral:rRNA from 1 species
UACAGAGGUCCCAAGCGUUGUUCGGAUUCACUGGGCGUAAAGGGUGCGUAGGUGGUCGGGUAAGUCUGAUGUGAAAUCUCCGGGCCUAACCCGGAAACUGCAUCGGAUACUAUUCGGCUGGAGGGUUGGAGGGGGGACUGGAAUACUUGGUGUAGCAGUGAAAUGCGUAGAUAUCAAGUGGAACACCAGUGGCGAAGGCGAGUCCCUGGACAACUCCUGACACUGAGGCACGAAAGCUAGGGGAGCAAACAGG